GAUGAACGCUGGCGGCGUGCCUAAUACAUGCAAGUCGAGCGAACAGACGAGGAGCUUGCUCCUCUGACGUUAGCGGCGGACGGGUGAGUAACACGUGGAUAACCUACCUAUAAGACUGGGAUAACUUCGGGAAACCGGAGCUAAUACCGGAUAAUAUAUUGAACCGCAUGGUUCAAUAGUGAAAGACGGUUUUGCUGUCACUUAUAGAUGGAUCCGCGCCGCAUUAGCUAGUUGGUAAGGUAACGGCUUACCAAGGCAACGAUGCGUAGCCGACCUGAGAGGGUGAGCGGCCACACUGGAACGGAGACACGGUCCAGACUCCUACGGGAGGCAGCAGAAGGGAAUCUUCCGCAAUGGGCGAAAGCCUGACGGAGCAACGCCGCGUGAGUGAUGAAGGUCUUCGGAUCGUAAAACUCUGUUAUUAGGGAAGAACAAAUGUGUAAGUAACUAUGCACGUCUUGACGGUACCUAAUCAGAAAGCCACGGCUAACUACGUG
rnacentral:rRNA from 1 species